UACAGAGGUCUCAAGCGUUGCUCGGAUUCAUUGGGCGUAAAGGGUGCGUAGGCGGCGCGGUAAGUCGGGGGUGAAAUCUCGGAGCUUAACUCCGAAACUGCAUUCGAUACUGGCGAUCUUGAGUCCGGGAGAGGUGAGUGGAACUGCGAGUGUAGAGGUGAAAUUCGUAGAUAUUCGCAAGAACACCAGUGGCGAAGGCGGCUCACUGGCCCGGUACUGACGCUGAGGUGCGAAAGCGUGGGGAGCAAACAGG
rnacentral:rRNA from 1 species